AGGAAGGACCGCAUGGCGGGGAAAGGAGGCCCAGCCGGAAAGGAUAUCACGGCGGCGGAGGUGUGCUAGCUGGCCGAGGCCCCUGGGAAGAUGAAUAAGAAGAAGGUGGUCACCGCCUCGUCGAUUACAUGAUUGUAAAUCCCUACGUGCCCUGGCUUCCGUGAAGAGACGCUGCUCAAGCUCCAUCCAGAGCUGGAGUCAUG
rnacentral:lncRNA from 1 species